GGCUUACAAUAGGUUGCAAUCCCGCAAGGGUUAGCUAAUCCUCAAAAGCCGUCUCAGUUCGGAUUGGGGGCUGAAACUCGCCCCCAUGAAGUUGGAAUCGCUAGUAAUGGCCGGUCAGAUAUACGGCCGUGAAUACGUUCUCGGGUCUUGUACACAAAAUAAGUGCGCGCCUGGCAGCUUUUCGAGCAAGGUGGUUGAAAUCCACCUUC
rnacentral:rRNA from 1 species